CUCCAAGCGUAGUGCAGUAGCAUUUUUUCAAAAGGAAGUUACGUCUCUCUAGCAAAUAUUUCUGACUGAAAAGAUGAAGACCAUUUGUGUCCUGUUCGUUCUGGUGGUGAUCUUCUCCUUGGUCCUUGCACAUGCAGGAGAUAAUGUCGAGGAAGGAUUGAAUGAAGAAAUGGAUCUGGAAAAAGGCAAAGAGUUCCUGAAAGUCCGCAAGCGUUAUGCCUGCAGUAAACAUAGCGACUGCGAUAAGUCAAAUGGUGGACCCGGAGGAGAUUGUGUUUUUUGGACCUGUGCACCGGGAAAGUAGUUGUGUUCUCCAAUCCAUCUGCGUACAGGGUUCCAUAUAUUAUCAAACUAUUGAUA